UACGUAGGGGGCAAGCGUUAUCCGGAUUUACUGGGUGUAAAGGGAGCGUAGACGGCCAUGCAAGUCUGAUGUGAAAACCCGGGGCUCAACCCCGGGACUGCAUUGGAAACUGUGCGGCUGGAGUGUCGGAGAGGCAAGUGGAAUUCCUAGUGUAGCGGUGAAAUGCGUAGAUAUUAGGAGGAACACCAGUGGCGAAGGCGACUUUCUGGACAGUAACUGACGUUGAGGCACGAAAGUGUGGGGAGCAAACAGG
rnacentral:rRNA from 1 species